AACUUUCUCGAAAGAUACAUUUCUCAUUGUAUCUUUUCUCGAUCUAUCGAUUGCUCAAUCUUGAUUAUUAUUUUUGUCGAUAUCGAAAUAUUACUUUAUACCGGAUGGAAGAAAGUCAACCUCGAGAGAUACACAGACCACCUGGAUUUCUUCCUGGGAGGUCGCAAAAACUGGAUAUAUUAAACAACCAUCAAAAAAAAAUAAAAAAAAGGUCAGAGUAAAAAAGAAUCGCAGGUUUCGGGAGUCGAGGAACAGGCAACAAUAAUUAAAAGAUACGUACUUCUUUCCUUUGACAUCACUUUUAACGAUUUGUAUAAUAUAAUUUGAAAAUGCAUGGCUUUUUUUCAGAUACAUGUAAUAAGAAACGCUUUGAAAUUGUCAAUUCACAAAGGAAUAAAUUCUUCAUUUCAAGGAUCUUCCACGGUAAAAACGUUUACCAUCAGGUGAUCCUUCAAGAUCAUUUUCCUACGUCUAUAUGCCGGAAUCCCUUGCCUGUGAGAAAGUCCCAAGGCAGGAAGUGACUAUAAAUAUUUGCCUAGCUAGCCGUCUUUUACGAUUACAACGCGAUUCAGCUUGACUGGAGCUCGAUUGUACUUGUGUGACGUAAUGCUCCGUUUUGCACUGUACUUGGUGUUGGUACAAGUUGAAGAAGAACGAUUCAAAGUUGCGAAACGACAAAGAAGACUUUAUCAGUAUUAUUUUCAUAUUUGAAAUUCCAUGAAUCUGUAAUCUUUUCAGGCAUUUUAAUACAAGGUUGAAAAUUGAAAAAGUAGAAAAAUUUCUGCAAUAAUAUCUACUUUGCUGUACACGAGAAAUUAUAAACGUUAACUCCAAAAUGAGGAAAUCUAGAGUGAUUGAUUUUCGACCUCGACAAAAUUGCAACUUUAGCUUAGAUGAUACUGUAAAUAAAUACUUUACAUUAUAUUGAGACAUGCUUGCGAAAAUAAUCAACAUUAACUACUUCAACUAUAAUUAUCCUAUCAAUCUUGUACGGCAUGAAGAAAUUAGUCAUGCUUCCGAAACCAUUAAAAACGGACGGAGGAAAAAGGAAUAAUUCACGGUAAACGCGGAGGAUCCAGUUGUUGACUGUAUUACGAAGGCAAUAUACUAGAGGGAAGCUAAUAAGCAACCAGCAUAGAAGUUGGCAAGGCCUAAUAUCAACCUAAAUAUACAGGACGUGAAAGUCCAGGAAGGGUCUUAAAAAGGCUAUAUGGAUUAAAAAAAACGAGCCUACCGAUCU